rnacentral:rRNA from 1 species
AACGAACGCUGGCGGCAUGCCUAACACAUGCAAGUCGAACGAGACCUUCGGGUCUAGUGGCGCACGGGUGCGUAACGCGUGGGAACCUGCCCUUAGGUUCGGAAUAACUCCCCGAAAGGGGUGCUAAUACCGGAUAAUGUCUUCGGACCAAAGAUUUAUCGCCUUUGGAUGGGCCCGCGUUGGAUUAGCUAGUUGGUAGGGUAAAAGCCUACCAAGGCGACGAUCCAUAGCUGGUCUGAGAGGAUGAUCAGCCACACUGGGACUGAGACACGGCCCAGACUCCUACGGGAGGGAGCAGUGGGGAAUAUUGGACAAUGGGCGAAAGCCUGAUCCAGCAAUGCCGCGUGAGUGAUGAAGGCCUUAGGGUUGUAAAGCUCUUUUACCCGGGAUGAUAAUGACGGUACCGGGAGAAUAAGCUCCGGCUAACUCCGUG